CAUCCUCCAAGGCUAAAUACUCCUGACUGACCGAUAGUGAACCAGUACCGUGAGGGAAAGGCGAAAAGAACCCCGGCGAGGGGAGUGAAAAAGAACCUGAAACCGUGUACGUACAAGCAGUGGGAGCCCCACCACCAAAGCAUUCUCUGGUGUUGAAGGCCCUGCAAAGCAGCAUCGCGGUGGCGGAGCGUCGUUUGCGACGCCCAACACACAAAACAAGCGGUGAGUGCUUUGGGGUGGGGUGACUGCGUACCUUUUGUAUAAUGGGUCAGCGACUUAUAUUCUGUAGCAAGGUUAACCGAAUAGGGGAGCCGGAGGGAAACCGAGUCUUAAUUGGGCGUUAAGUUGCAGGGUAUAGACCCGAAACC
rnacentral:rRNA from 10 species